rnacentral:lncRNA from 1 species
AAUUUAUUAUUUUUUAAGAUUUUAUAUAUUUUUUUAAUUUUUUUUUAAAAAUACUAAGAUAGUCACCAAAACGGCCACGGGUUCUGAAACCGACCUGAUUUUUUCUUGAAUGCGAAGUAGCGUUUGGACAGUCGGAGAGAAUUUAGAGGGAGUUUACGGUUUACUAUUUGAGUAGAGAGCUAGAGAGAGAAGGGAUUUUAUAUAUUAUUGUUUGUUUGGAGAGAGAGUGUUACGUUCCCUUUACUAUAUGUUAGCAGAGUGCCUGAGGAAGAAAGUGG